UAACAAGAGGUGUCAAAUGUACAAUGAGAUGUAAAAAAAUAAAAUACAAAAUUAUAGAAUGUAAAAAGUAAAAAUAAAGACAAGCACCACAAAAUUGGCUUUAUCAGUUAUUGCCCCUUAACAUGAGGUAAGUGUCCCAUUUCUCCCAAAGGGCAUCACCCUUCUGUUUCUGAAGCCUCAGUAUAAAAGUUAAGCGCUCCAAGGACUGAAUGCUUUUGACUAUGGUAAGCCACUGGUUAAUAUUCGAGGGAUCUUUAGUGAACCAAUGCUUGGUAAUAGCUUUUUUACUUGCAGCCA